rnacentral:rRNA from 1 species
CCACACCAUGGGAGUUUGUUGCACCAGAAGCAGGUAGCUUAAUCACGCAAGUGGAGGGCGCUUGCCACGGUGUGGCCGAUGACUGGGUG